rnacentral:tRNA from 1 species
GCCUGGGUGGCUCAGACGGUUAAGCGUCCGACUUCGACUCAGGUCAUGAACUCCUGGUUCGUGAGUUCGAGCCUCGCAUCAGGCU